GUCGAGCGGACUUGAUGAGAAGCUUGCUUCUCUGAUGGUUAGCGGCGGACGGGUGAGUAACACGUAGGCAACCUGCCCUCAAGCUUGGGACAACUACCGGAAACGGUAGCUAAUACCGAAUACUUGUUUUCUUCGCCUGAAGGAAACUGGAAAGAUGGAGCAAUCUAUCACUUGAGGAUGGGCCUGCGGCGCAUUAGCUAGUUGGUGAGGUAACGGCUCACCAAGGCGACGAUGCGUAGCCGACCUGAGAGGGUGAUCGGCCACACUGGGACUGAGACACGGCCCAGACUCCUACGGGAGGCAGCAGUAGGGAAUCUUCCGCAAUGGGCGAAAGCCUGACGGAGCAAUGCCGCGUGAGUGAUGAAGGUUUUCGGAUCGUAAAGCUCUGUUGCCAGGGAAGAACGCUUAGGAGAGUAACUGCUCCUGAGGUGACGGUACCUGAGAAGAAAGCCCCGGCUAACUACGUGCCAGCAGCCGCGGUAAUACGUAGGGGGCAAGCGUUGUCCGGAAUUAUUGGGCGUAAAGCGCGCGCAGGCGGUCAUUUAAGUCUGGUGUUUAAUCCCGGGGCUCAACCCCGGAUCGCACUGGAAACUGGGUGACUUGAGUGCAGAAGAGGAGAGUGGAAUUCCACGUGUAGCGGUGAAAUGCGUAGAUAUGUGGAGGAACACCAGUGGCGAAGGCGACUCUCUGGGCUGUAACUGACGCUGAGGCGCGAAAGCGUGGGGAGCUAAGACAGGAUUAGAUACUCU
rnacentral:rRNA from 1 species